rnacentral:rRNA from 1 species
UACGUAGGGCGCAAGCGUUGUCCGGAAUUAUUGGGCGUAAAGAGCUCGUAGGCGGCUUGUCACGUCGGGUGUGAAAGCCCGGGGCUUAACCCCGGGUCUGCAUUCGAUACGGGCUAGCUAGAGUGUGGUAGGGGAGAUCGGAAUUCCUGGUGUAGCGGUGAAAUGCGUAGAUAUCAAGAGGAACACCUGAGGUGAAGACGGGUUGCUGGGCCAACACUGACGCUGAGGCGCGAAAGCCAGGGGAGCAAACGGG